ensembl:lncRNA
UCCCGGGGUUCAUGGGAGGGGAGAAGCUUCCCUUUGUGCUCCCCAUUGAGUGCUGCUCCCCUCCUUCACGCCAGCCCAGCAGAGCCCAGGUGGGAGCAGCCUUCCUCCAUGGCGCCUCACAGAGCUGCAGCCCAGAGCAGUGCUGCAUGAAGCAAAGCCUGAACCUCUGCAUGGUGUGAAACAUUAUGGCAGCACUGAUGCUGGGGCAUCCUCUGUUUGUGAGAACAGGGAGAGGGAAAGACAAAGCGGGAGAAGAAGAAAAAGCAAGUGAGGAAGAGGAAAGGAUGAGAAAAAGAGAAAGUCAGCGAGAACACAAAGAGAGGAAGAAGAGAAAGAGGAGUUUGUCUUGACUGUGGGCUCAGAAAGACUGCAGAGCGACCUCCCCUGAGAAACCUGCUGUAGUUCAGCAUAUCAGACUUAGGUCAGUGGAAACCCCCAGCCCUAAACUUACUGCUCAGCUUCAGUAGUCCCAUCCUCUCAGUUAUCCCUAAGCACCCAACAGGAAAGGUGAAAGUAGGCCAAAAUUCCAACACAACUGAUGUACAUCCCUGAUGUCACUUGUUCCAUCAUUUGAUCUUCCAAGGGCAAGACUCCAGAAAAUCACAGCCCAGAUGAGCUUAUGAGGUGCAUAAACUCCUACGUGCCCACUCUCCAGGUUCUUCUGGCACCAUGCUUUGUUCAGGAGCACCUGUAGGAAAUACCACCGAUUUCCUGCCAUCUGUAACUACACGUGUGAACUGAGGGUGCAAACCAGAGUGAAGGUCUGCAGUACUCGGCACGCCGCGGGUCUGUCCAACAGAUCUUCACACCGCUGCCCCCCAGUGUCUAUCCACUGCCUCUCCCACCCCAAAUCAGCCGGGUCAAACCGUUGCGCCUAGUCUGGAGUGGAUCUGUGGAAGCUUUCGUGGAAUCAUGCCAAAACGUUGUGAAACAUGCCAAAGAGAAUGUGUUACAUGGCUUCCUCACCCCUCUUCAGAACCAGAUCAGGUACAUAAGAACGAGCAAAGGCUCCUGUGUGACGCUGCCUGCAGAGUGGAGGUGGCUGCGAGAUGAGAAGACACUGAACAUCACUGAGCAGCCCAAAGAGGAUCCUAGUUGCAUGCACAGUACACAUCCUGCUGCCCUUCUCACACUCGUAGCUUUUCCACAGCUACAGGUGCUUCUGAAGCUCUUACAAAGACCUACUUUGUUAGCAAUACCCAUUUCAAUGAAACAUGUCAUACAAAUCUGCUAUCUUCUCUCCUUCCCACCUAAACACACUAAGAGCAUUUUUCUCUUCUUGGUUUAAUGACCCAGAUAUAGUAGACUUACAUAGUGUCACACUGCAUUUUAUUGGAAACCAACAUACCCACAAAACUGGCAAAUCGUUUGAAAUACAUCACCCUCUUAUCAGAU